CUCCUCCGUAAACACUCGACGCGGAAGUGCGCGAGACGCACAGAUUUACCGAGAUUCCGCGAUACAUUCAUUUAAAAAAAUGUAUAUAUUUGAACCGUUCCCGCAGUAACAUAUUAUAAGUUCACCGUCAACAAUGACAAAUGCCAAUUUACAGAAAGCCAUUGAUUUGGCCAGCAGAGCUUCUGAGGAGGACAAGGCCAAAAACUACGAGGAAGCUCUGCGCCUCUAUCAGCAUGCAAUCCAGUAUUUUCUUCAUGUGGUAAAAUUUCAUUGAGCAAAAAAUCCAGAACCUGAUGAUGGAAUAUGUUUUGAGCGCGCCGCCCUCCAUAUCAGUCAGAGUUCCCCAGUCUGACGAUUAAGGGACUGACAGUGAUGACGGCGAUGCAGAGAAAAAGAAAUUCCAAAGUCAACUCCAAGGUGCUAUUGUCAUGGAGAAACCCAACAUUAAGUGGGACGAUGUUGCUGGUUUGGAAGGAGCCAAAGAGGCCCUUAAAGAAG